rnacentral:rRNA from 1 species
GUGUCAGCAGCCGCGGUAAUACAGAGGGGGCAAGCGUUGUUCGGAAUUACUGGGCGUAAAGGGCGCGUAGGCGGCCUUCUAAGUCGAACGUGAAAUCCCCGGGCUCAACCCGGGAACUGCGUCCGAUACUGGAAGGCUUGAAUCCGGGAGAGGGAUGCGGAAUUCCAGGUGUAGCGGUGAAAUGCGUAGAUAUCUGGAGGAACACCGGUGGCGAAGGCGGCAUCCUGGACCGGCAUUGACGCUGAGGCGCGAAAGCCAGGGGAGCAAACGGGAUUAGAUACCCCGGUAGUCCUGGCCCUAAACGAUGAAUGCUUGGUGUGGCGGGUAUCGAUCCCUGCCGUGCCGAAGCUAACGCAUUAAGCAUUCCGCCUGGGGAGUACGGUCGCAAGGCUGAA